UGGAUGCAAAGCUACCUACCCC
rnacentral:piRNA from 1 species